GCUAACCCACUAUUUGAGGAAUUGAUUUUAUUUAUCAAUUAAAUAUUAUUUUAAUAAUAUUUUCGGAUUGGAUUUAAGUGAGAACUCAAUAGUCUUGAAUUAAUUACGGCAUUACAAUUUAUUCAGAAUUGUGUUUCUCUGUGAUUUAUCUGGUUAUUUAAUUGUGCUAGUCCUACGUGGUGUCUAGUGAUCUUAGAGUUAGGGGUCGUACGGAUUUUAACCUAUUUAUUAUUUUAGACCCGUCGACUGCUCGUGCUUCGGAGUCUACGCAGGGUUAGCUGUUUGCCAAGAUCACGUGGAUAAGCAAGCAGUUUAUGAUUUGAAAGCUGGUCCACUCCGAUUCUUUUGAUUCCUCGGAGGUUUUUAUGUUAUUUAAACUAGUUACUAUUUUUGAACUCUUAGACCGCAGUAGAACUAGUUUAUAUAUUACAUUCAAUAUUACACUUUGGGAUUGUCGAAUUUGAUCGACUAUUUAUUAUUAGCAUAUUUACACUGGAAUAUUUUAUUAUUAUAUUUAAGGCAUGCUGUGGAAUAUUUUCAGCUA